rnacentral:rRNA from 1 species
AAUCAUCGAAUCUUUGAACGCACAUUGCGCCCUUUGGUAUUCCGAAGGGCAUGCCUGUUCGAGCGUCAUUAUCACCCCUCAAGCCCCCGGCUUGGUGUUGGACGGUUUGGUGGAGGCCCCCUCGUCGGGGUCGCUGCCCCUCCCAAAGACAAUGACGGCGGCCUCGUUGGACCCCCGGUACACUGAGUUCUUCACGGGACACGUACUGGACACAAGGGUGCGCGGGGCACGGUCUGCCUCCCCUCUAGGGAGAAUUAUCUCAAGGUUGACCUCGGAUCAGGUAGGGAUACCCGCUGAACUUAAGCAUAUCAAUAAGCGGAGGAACCUCUGUGCACCAUCCUCUUUUCUUUGUGGUAUAAAAUCAGGGAGGACCACCCGAUGUAAUUAAUCUUAUCAAU